rnacentral:siRNA from 1 species
GCCACUUGUAUGGGCCACAUAGGU